rnacentral:rRNA from 1 species
ACGAACGCUGGCGGCGUGCUUAACACAUGCAAGUCGAACGGAGAUUAUUAAUGAAGCUUGCGAUUUAAUAAUCUUAGUGGCGGACGGGUGAGUAACGCGUGGGCAACUACCCAUAAGCGGGGGAUAACAGUUGGAAACGACUGCUAAUACCGCAUAAGCUAUUGAGGUCGCAUGACCUUAAUAGUAAAGGUGGCAUUUUAAAGAUGCUAUCACUUAUGGAUGGGCCCGCGUCUGAUUAGCUAGUUGGUGGGGUAGCGGCCUACCAAGGCAACGAUCAGUAGCCGGCCUGAGAGGGUGGACGGCCACACUGGGACUGAGACACGGCCCAGACUCCUACGGGAGGCAGCAGUGGGGAAUAUUGCGCAAUGGGGGAAACCCUGACGCAGCGACGCCGCGUGAGCGAAGAAGGCCUUAGGGUCGUAAAGCUCUGUUGUAAGGGACGAAUGUUUAUCUGACGAAUAGUCAGAUAAAGUGACGGUACCUUACCAGCAAGCCCCGGCUAACUACGUG